rnacentral:rRNA from 1 species
AUUGAACGCUGGCGGCAGGCUUAACACAUGCAAGUCGAGCGGAGAGAGGUAGCUUGCUACUGAUCUUAGCGGCGGACGGGUGAGUAAUGCUUAGGAAUCUGCCUAUUAGUGGGGGACAACAUUUCGAAAGGAAUGCUAGUACCGCAUACGUCCUACGGGAGAAAGCAGGGGAUCUUCGGACCUUGCGCUAAUAGAUGAGCCUAAGUCGGAUUAGCUAGUUGGUGGGGUAAAGGCCUACCAAGGCGACGAUCUGUAGCGGGUCUGAGAGGAUGAUCCGCCACACUGGGACUGAGACACGGCCCAGACUCCUACGGGAGGCAGCAGUGGGGAAUAUUGGACAAUGGGCGCAAGCCUGAUCCAGCCAUGCCGCGUGUGUGAAGAAGGCCUUAUGGUUGUAAAGCACUUUAAGCGAGGAGGAGGCUACUUUAGAUAAUACCUAGAGAUAGUGGACGUUACUCGCAGAAUAAGCACCGGCUAACUCUGUGCCAGCAGCCGCAGUAA